CAUCUAUGCUUAUGGUUUUGAGAAGCCUUCCGCUAUUCAGCAGAAAGCUAUUAUUCCUUGUAUUAAAGGGUAUGAUGUGAUUGCUCAAGCUCAGUCAGGUACUGGCAAGACAGCCACAUUUGCUAUUUCCAUCCUGCAACAGUUGGAGAUUGAGUUCAAGGAGACCCAAGCACUAGUAUUAGCCCCCAUCAGAGAACUGGCUCAACAGAUUCAAAAGGUAAUAGGUAAUUCUGGCACUUAGAGACUAUAUGGGAGCAACUUGUCAUGCUUGCAUUGGUGGGACAAAUGUUCAAACUGAAAUGCAAAAACUUCAGGCUGAAGCACCACAUACUGUAGUUGGUAUACCAGGGAGAGUGAUAUGUUAAACAGAAGACACCUCUCUCCGAAAUGGAUCAAAAUGUUUGUUUUGGAUGAAGCAGAUGAAAUGUUGAGCCAAGGGUUUAAGGAUCAAAUCUUUGAGGCUUUCCAAAAAUUAAAUACAAGUAUUCAGGUUGUGUUGCUUUCUGCUGCAAUGCCAACUGAUGUGUUGGACGUGACCAAAACAUUCAUGAGCGAUCCAAUUCGAAUUCUGGUGAAAAAGGAAGAACUGACCCUUGAAGGAAUCAAACAGUUUUAUAUUAAUGUUGAAAGAGAGGACUAGAAGUUGGAUACACUUUGUGACUUGUAUGAGACACUGACCAUUAUGCAGCCUGUUAUUUUUCUCAAUACAGCGCAAGAUGAACUGGCUCACUGAGAAAACGCAUGCCAGGGACUUCACAGUGUCUGCUCUGCAUGGUGACAUGGACCAGAAGGAAAGGGAUGUCAUCACGAGGGAGUUCUGGUCAGGGCCAAGCUGUGCUCUGAUCACUACUCACUUAUUGGCUCAUGGGAUUGAUGUGCAACAAGUGUCUUUGGUUAUAAACUAUGACCUACCUACCAGUCAUGAAAACUAUAUUCACAGAAUUGGCAGAGGGGGUUGAUUUGGGAGGAAAGAUGUGGCUAUAAACUUUGUUACUGAAGAAGACAAGAGGAUUCUUCGUGACAUUGAGACUUUCUACAGCACUACAGUGGAGGAAAUGCCCAUGAGUGCGGUUGACCUUAUUUAAUUCCUGGGAUGAGAGAGUUUUGAAUGCAGUGCUCGCUGUUGCUGAAUAGGCGAUCACAAUGUGCACUGUGCUUC